rnacentral:misc_RNA from 1 species
AAGGCGGUCGACGUGGUACAAAAAAACUACUAAAAUACAAAUACUGCAGUGCCAUAACAAAUAAUUGACUUAACAUACUAGUAGACGUAAAAAUUAAGAAAAAAUAAGAAAUAUAUAUUGUAGUUAUUUUCAAAAAGUUACGUGACGUUGGCAUUACGAAAAUGUAUGCGAAAAUGCGAGAAAAAUGUUUGGCAAGCCUUGAGAGCAGCAGCAGCGGCGACUCAGUCGCAGUCUUCGACUAGGCAGCCUAUUGCAUAAAAAUGUAACUUAGCAGCUCUUCAGCUUUUGUCGCCUCUUCCACAUAAGCACAAGAAACACACAUCCAUAAGGACAACUAGUAGGAUACACAUGCGGACAGGACUCUUCCUGUUUGGCUCCAUCUACGGGAACCUACUUUCCAAUUGCUAAGCAACUAAAGUCGACAGCAACACGAAAAUGGAAGAAUGCUUAACGGCGGCAGCAGCACGAACAUUUUCAGCGAAAUUCUGUGAAAUUUGAAUUGCAUAUAUAAAUAUAUAUAUGUUAACCAGUACAAUAAUUAGCUAAAGGAGCCAAUUAGCUGCGUUGUGUUCCAAGUAAACAACAGAAAACUUCCCUCAAAAAAUAUAAAAAAAAACUUACACAGAAAAAGGCAAAUAGCGAAAAGCGAAGCGAAACUUGAACAAUAAAAACACAUUAAUUUUAGCUGAAGAACAAAUUGAAAAGCGCACAUUGCAAAUGAAUUGAACUGCUUCCUAACUUAUAAUAUAUAUUAACAAAAAGAAACAAACAAUAACAAGAACCACACGUAACGGCAGCAGCAGCAGCAA